ACGGCUGCUGGCAGUUGAAAAAGAACCGAGGAGGAGCAUUUCCCGCCCGCCUUCUAUACACACAGACAAGCAGUACAUACAAACAGUCUCGGAUGGGAGAGGGCCCUCCCCCUGGGAGACUAAUUUAGACCGGAGGCAGGCAAUAACUGUGUGUAAAAGGAACUGAAUUCAUUUAUUUUUUUUAAGAAGUGUCAUCUUCCCCAGUGGACCCACAGACUUCUUUUGUUGAACUGUUGCCUUUGGUCAAGCAGGUUUCUGAAACAAUGCUAAAGGACCCAGAGCAUCAAGUUACCUGAGGAUCCCAUUCGGUCGUUGUGCCCAUUCCAACGGUAGAAAUCUGGAUAUUCCCCAUGCUCCAGGACAUACUGUUGGCCUCGGAAGUCCCCAUGACCAAAGCAGACCCAAGCUCCACUCUGUACACAGAUAGAAUUGACUCGGUUCAUGAAACCCCGUUCCUGGAAGUUAUCACAGGGCCCACAAACCUCCAGCUUUCUGCCUGUGAAGGAUUUGCCCUCAUAGAAAACAAUCUAGAUGGAGGAAGAAAGAUAUUCCAUCAGCUGAACCAUCGACCACAUCAAAGGGAAAUGGCUACUAAGUUGGUAGAUGCACCAGAGGUAGAGUUGUGGCAUGAUCAUUGCUAUGACCUCUGAACUCAAGCUUCAAGGUGAG